GGACGGGUGGGAUGGGGCGCGAAAAAUGGGUGAGUGAAGCAAAAGCAAAAAGGCCCCCUGUGAGAACACGAAAGACGAUGGAUGAUUGUGUUUUAUACGCAAAUACAAACAAAAUGGCGAAUUACGAACAAGGUGGAAGAACAAAAAAAAAAAGCAACAGCACUACUCGUCAUGGCACACACCAAAUAUAUACAUAGAUUCUUCUUCAAAUACUGUUCUUGUGUCCCCCUACCUACUUCACAGAAAAUUCAAUAGGAGAUCAGGAUGUAAAAUAACAAUUUACAUUGAUGAUGUGACAAUAAAUAUGUAGGAUCUACUCAACAAUUUCUUAAAGUCCGAAUACUGCAACUAGCCAAUAGAAAAAACGAGUAGGAGUUAACCUUGUCUUCAAGUGCAAUUUGAUAACAGAUGUCCCCACAAUCGCAACAAGAGCAACCAAACAUCAAUAACUUCAUUUCAAUGAAUAAAACGUACAAUAAAAAUUAAUCGAAUUAUCAUGAGUAUA